rnacentral:rRNA from 1 species
CAGGAUUAGAUACCCUGUCUUGACAUCCACGGAAGUUUUCAGAGAUGAGAAUGUGCCUUCGGGAACCGUGAGACAGGUGCUGCGUGGCUGUCGUCAGCUCGUGUUGUGAAAUGUUGGGUUAAGUCCCGCAACGAGCGCAACCCUUAUCCUUUGCGCCAGCGGUCCGGCCGGGAACUCAAAGGAGACUGCCAGUGAUAAACUGGAGGAAGGUGGGGAUGACGUCAAGUCAUCAUGGCCCUUACGACCAGGGCUACACACGUGCUACAAUGGCGCGUACAAAGAGAAGCGACCUCGCGAGAGCAAGCGGACCUCAUAAAGUGCGUCGUAGUCCGGAUUGGAGUCUGCAACUCGACUCCAUGAAGUCGGAAUCGUUAGUAAUCGUGGAUCAGAAUGCCACGGUGAAUACGUUCCCGGGCCUUGUACACACCGCCCGUCACACCAUGGGAGAGGGUUGCAAAAGAAGUAGGUAGCUUAACCUUCGGGAGGGCGCUUACCACUUUGUGAUUCAUGACUGGGGUGAAGUCGUAACAAUGUAACC